rnacentral:rRNA from 1 species
AAAUUUUAAAUGGCCGCAGUAUUUUGACUGUGCAAAGGUAGCAUAAUCAUUAGUUUCUUAAUUAGAAGCUUGUAUGAAAGGUUGAAUGAGAAAGUUACUGUCUCUAUUUAAAUUUAUUAGAAUUUUAUAUUUAAGUAAAAAAGCUUAAAUAUAUAUAGAAGACGAGAAGACCCUAUAGAGUUUUAUAUUAUUAUUAUUUAUAUCUUUUAGUAUUAUAAUUAUAUAAUUAGUUAUAUAUUUGAUUGGGGUGAUUAAAAAAUUUAUUGAACUUUUUUUGUAUUAUUUCAUUAAUUUAUGAAUUAUUGAUCCUUAAUUUAAGAUUAAAAGAAUAAAUUACCUUAGGGAUAACAGCGUAAUUUUUUUUAAGAGUUCUAAUCAAAAAAAAAGUUUGC